AAGGGAAGCUUGGCGGCUUGGUGAUGAAGUGUUGCCCUCCCAGGUGAGAGUCACCAGAAUCAGCCAGCAGAAGGACAGGGCACACAUAAUGUAUAUCCACCUACGCAAACACACUCUGACUGAUUGAGGUGCCUCCCACCCCUCCAGCAAGACUCUUACACAAAGGCCAGCUUCUCAUCUUCCUCAUCUCGCCUGUCUCACAGUUUCAAGCUCCAUUUCAAACCUGCUUCAUCAAGCAUUCGAUGAAGGUGGAUUGGCCAGAGGGGGAGCUCGGUUUACCACCUGUUGGGGCAGUUCCUGUUACUUAACAAAGUGCGGAUGACAAUGGGGUUGAUGGUGAGUUCAUUUAUUCCAUUGUGAUUCUUUUUUUUUUUUAUGGAUGACAAAUGGAAAUCUUUGUCGAAGAGCAUUUGCAUGAUGAUGCAAUCAGAUUCCUGAACACAAUUGCAAUUUUAAAAAACUUUUAAGACUUUUUUUUUUCUACUGACCUUCUUUGUGCAGUCCCCCCCCCCCCAAAAACAUUUGUCUCAUGUGAUGUGCAUGUCAAAGUUAAACUCCUUUUGACCUAGUUAUUGGGCAACCUUUAAAACUAAAAUAUUGGUUUAAGCCACCGAAGCUUGCUAAUGGCAGUGACUUUUAAAAUAAAUAACCUGCAUCAUUGUUACACUUUAACAUCCAACUAAACAUUUACAGAAUCAGGUUUUGUGCUAAUUUUACUUCUGAAACCCUGAGAGGAGAACCCCUAAGGUUGAACAAAGUCCAUUGGGGGAAACGCUGGUAUUGAUUUUCCAGUUCCAGGGUCAGAUGCACGCACGUCGUUCCUGUUACUUUUCCUCUCCGUUGCAAUCAGUUCCUUUGCCGUAGCUGCCAUCAUGUUGAUCUUUAUUUUCACUUGCAACAACAACGUAACAGAUUGCACUCGUAGGGUCUCAACCCGAGGUUUUGGUGCAAUUUUAAGGGUGUUUUAGUUUUCUCAAAAUGAUGGUCCACCCAUAAAUGGCAGAAGUUCCACCGUAUAAUCUUCCAGCCUAAACGCGUACGCAAACAAACUGAUGAACAGAGGAUACAAACGGCAUUUGUGCAAUGGACACAUUUCCCUUUGACAAUGUGAAGCAGAUCUCUGCGGAGUCAUACGCAACGGUCCACGUGAAGAAUGGAUAUCAUUGAUCCCCCCUCGGGAGCGGGCUUUUUGACGUCAUUCACCAAAGAGAUUUUAGUGGGGUAAUCUCUCAUCAUUUAAGUCAGAUGGAUUCAGCAGAAAUCAUAUCAGCGCCCCCCCCCCCC